GGUAGAUCUGACGGGUGGAACAAGGAUGAGUUGUUCAGAGUCAAGUCUGCAAGGGUGAGCCAGCAGAAUGGGGGUGAGGUCCCAACACUGCAAUGACCUGGGCAGGGCACUUCACCUGACCGAACCCCAGGUAGAGGGAGAAUAUCACCUGCCUCUCGUGUUUCACUGCAAUGUGGUGAGGACCGAAUGAGAGAAGUCUGCAAAUGUACGAAGCACUCUCAUUAACAAGGUGGAUGAUCAGAUUGGGUAAUUUUGUUUCAGAUCAAAUGCCAGAUGUGGCAAAAGACUGAUUUUCAUCGUUCUGAAAAUGACACUGAUGAUGAGCUGCCAAAAUAUUUUGAGCUCUGACUGCAUCAUCGAAAUAAGUGCCUGGCGUCCGUCCCCAGGUGACUACUUUGAAAGGAUGCAUUCUUCACAUGCAACCCCUUAAUUGUCUCGUGGCUCUAACCAGAAGGCUUCUAGGCCCCUGUUCCUCAAAAUGGGGUCCCAGGAACAGCAGUCUAGGCCACACCCGGGAGCUUGUUGGCAAUGCAGGCUCUCCCACCCCAGACCGGCAGAGCAGAUUCUGCAUUUUCACAAGUCCCCAGGGGUGCCUGGGCCAUUACACUUUGAGAGCGCCGCAUGCAACCCAGCUCCCAGGCCGGUCACUAAGUGGCAAAACUCCAGGGCACGUGCCAGCCGGGCUGGAUCCUGCCUUACCUUGGGGAAGGCGUCGGGC
rnacentral:lncRNA from 1 species